rnacentral:rRNA from 1 species
GUGGAUUAGAUACCCUGGUAGUCCACGCCCUAAACGAUGUCUACUAGUUGUUGGGAGAGUAAAAUCUCUUAGUAACGCAGCUAACGCGUGAAGUAGACCGCCUGGGGAGUACGGUCGCAAGAUUAAAACUCAAAGGAAUUGACGGGGGCCCGCACAAGCGGUGGAUUAUGUGGAUUAAUUCGAUGCAACGCGAAAAACCUUACCUGGCCUUGACAUGUACCGAAUUUGUGAGAGAUCACUUAGUGCUCGAAAGAGAACGGUAACACAGGUGCUGCACGGUCGUCGUCAUCU